rnacentral:rRNA from 1 species
UACGUAGGGGCCGAGCGUUGUCCGGAGUUACUGGGCGUAAAGCGCGCGCAGGCGGCCACUUAAGCCCGGCGUGAAAGCCCCCGGCUCAACCGGGGAGGGUCGUCGGGGACUGGGUGGCUUGAGGACGGCAGGGGCUGGUGGAAUCCCCGGUGUAGUGGUGAAAUGCGUAGAUAUCUGGAGGAACACCGGUGGCGAAGGCGACAUCCUGGACCGGUAUUGACACUGAUGAGCGAAAGCCAGGGGAGCAAACAGG